GACUGAGCCACCCACGCGUCCCAGAGGGGACAAAUAUUAAAAAGAAAACCGUCCAACCACGGAAAAUGGAUGGUAUGCAGGAUCAGGGCAAUGUGGCCCAAACCGAAUUACUGACGGGUCUGUAAGUUCUGUGGGUGAGCGGAGGCAGGAGGCAGAAAGAUGGAGGAUAAGAGAGAGGGGACGCAGCUCUUCUGACUGUGCCUGGUGCACCUGCUGUGGUUAAAACAGCCUGGUGGUUUCCUGGGGCACAAAUGUCCCCCAGCCACCGGGCGGGCCAGCUUGAUGGGGCAACCCCUCCACCUCCAGGCCUCCCUGUGGGUCUCCCGGCUCCUCGUAGCAACGGCAAACCCACUACCACCACCACUGCUCCCCCUUCUCUGAAGAGUAGCUGAGGCCCAGGUUUGUCCUAAGGGCAGAGGUGCCCUACUACCAGCUCCCACGAUGAGUGUCACCAGUGGUAAGGAUCCGACAGCACAGCUGGGAAAGCAGGGCUGGGAUUCUGAAAGCACCUGCCAUCCAGGCCCUGCUUCCUUAAACACGUGGUUGCCUGAUCACCUAUAUCUCUGGACAUCGUGCCACCAUCAAGCGGACACCCAGAGCUGACAGUAGUGUGGGUCACGGAGCAAGGACGUUGGUCGGGGCCUGGGUCAGUGUGACCUUGCUGAUGGGGACAGAGGCAGUGCACUCCUGCUGGAGGCAGACACUUGCCAAAGAGAGUCAAGAACAGUUGGUGGACAGCACGGACCCAGCACGGAUGCCGCCGCAUGAACCUCUGUGGGAGGCUCAGGAAUCUGAAGAAGUGAUUCCUGGGGGAGGAAAGCAAAGCAUUGACAACACUCAUAGACAAGCAAAUCACAGGGUUUGCCAGAGGCCACACCUUGGACAGAGAUCGACAGCUGCGGUUUUGUAAAGCUAAGGGAACUUUCUCUGGAAAGAAAGUUAUUAUUACUCAUUGCACAUGAAGAGGGUUCAUCGUCGUGGAACAGUUUGCUCGCUCCCAGUCGUUACUGCCCCCAGACCACUUAUCUCUCGAGUCUUCUGCUUCGCCUAACUUGUGCCCAGUUCCAAGGGGCCUGGCUCGGUGUAGCCCUCCCCGAGCUGCAGGAUUCCCUGGAUCCCAGGACACCACUAACUGCUAAGAAGCCAUGGCAAUUUAACAGCACCUUCCUCCAGAGGAGGGAACAAGAAACCUGCCACAGUAAGUGUACACAUGAGGGGAAAAGGGCUUUGACUUUAGAAACAAGAGGGCCUGGAACCUUCCUUCACAUCCCCGAGGUGAACCUAUACAGGGCUUCCUCGUAUGGGACGCUCUCAGUGACCCCUGCCGCGCACUAAGAACCAGCCCCUUGAACGAGAACUCCAGAGACCCUUCUAAGAGGACAAGCGCUCAGCAGACUUCGAGCUUCGACAGCAGCAGGGAUCCUGCAUCCGGGUGUGAGGCAAAAAUGGUGUAUAAUCCUCACGCCCUCAAAUGCCCUUUUGUUAGAAAGCACAGCGCCCAGGGUUUGGGGAUCGUGGACUCUCUCUAUGGCCAGUUUCUCCUCCAGGGUUGGUGGGGGAGAAAAAGAAAAAAAUCUCUGUUUCUCCGCUCCGGCACCAGAUGAAGUGGGUUUGUGUCUGGGGUCACGUUAUUGGAAACAGAAGUGCCUGACGACGACCAUGAUAGUUACCCCGUGUUUGUGGCUGGAUUAAGAUAAACUCGGUGAUUAGACUCCACAGUGAAAGAGAUGUUCCUGUGUUUCACUCCAAGACCUCAGAUCAAUUUAAUCCUCAGAGAGCAGCCACGAACCUCCGGAGGGAUCUGGGCACAGGUCCCCCGGUGUGCGUGCGCCCACCCGCGUAUAGCCGCAGCUCUAGCUUUCACGGUACGGUUCGCCACACCAGGGAGGGACCUCUGCCUGCGAAGUGCUGCCCUCCUCACGGCUUGGGAUGCAGAGGAUUGCAAAAUGACCUUUUGAAUCUGUGCUGGCCACAUUCUUUCCUUGGAUUUAAAUAAAGCGACGACUGUUCCCGAUUUUCCUUGGUUGAUACAGCUCUGAGGAAUGGAGCAGGGCAGCCGCACAGCAGGGACAAGCCAGUGAUGAGUCAGAAGCUGGGGGUCAUGUUACGGGGAGAGCCCUCCAGAAAUCAGCUGUGGUCAAGGAUCAAAGCUGCAGCCUCCCAAGCUGCCCGCAAGGAAGGACGUUUCCCCGGAUGCCGCCUCUCCAACCGUAUUGGAACAGAGCUGGUCAUUCUCCUUCAAGGAGUGGUGUCUUCUAAAUGAAUGUACUCGUUUACAUGUGGAAUCUGGCUUCUUCACAAACAGCAAGCCAAUUUUUCUUCAUUGUUUGCUUCCUUCCUCUCUUCUCCCUUCAUUUUCAAAGACAUAUACUGAGCAGCAACUGUGUAUCCAGCAUCAUCAUUAACACAGGGAUCUCCGUAGGAUUUGUAGGAAUUUCCUGAGGACCUAGCAUAUGAUCCACACUUUACCAGGAUGAUGGGAAGAUGCGAUCAGAAGAAACAAUGGCAGACACUGCUUCUGAUCAUAAGGAACCCCAAAGACAUACCAGUCUAGGAGCUCAUUCCGGACUGGGGUACAUUCAUCAAAUUAAAAGUAAAAAAGAAUCCUACUAACAAAAUAAAGUUUGCACAUAUUCCCAUGCUUUUGCCAAGCCUUAUUAAUUAAUGCUGUCAGACUCGACAAAGACUAUGUUUGAUGAGAACAAUUUCCUUUAAUUAUUUUGUACUUCUCCGGGGUAAGUAAUCCAGUCUCAUAAAAAACGACGAACAGUAACAACAACAGAAAUGUAAUCUCAGCAAACAAAUCCAACUGCACUGACACUCAGACCCAAGGGCUCCGUGUGGUGAACACAAGCACCUUCAGACAGGAAGUCCUCUAGGAUCAUUAGUCGCCGAUGAUUCCCGAGAAGCCCAGGGGGCACUGACAUUCAGAGGGACUGACUGUCUCUAGGGCUCAGAAGCCCAAAUGGUGUGUUUCCUCCUCAACUAGAGGUCACCCGGAGACAGCCAAAGUGAAAAGAACAAUGGCAGGAAAGCCUGGAACCUCCUUAAUGUGGCUCCCGUGUGCAGGGCUGCUGGGCUGUGUCGCUCCCGGGACCCAACCGACACUGGCAUCUGGACAUGUGUGCAAGGAACUGAGGGAACACUGGCAGUGGCUGGAGACAGUUCUGGCGAUCAUGACUGAGGUGGUGGCUGCUACUGGCAUUGAGUGGACAGAGGCACCUCACACCUCCUUGUUUUGAGCUCAUAUCCACGCCUGUGCACACAGUUUAACUUAAGCAACCAGGACAUCGAGAUCUCGGAUAUCGUCACACACCCAUCUCUUGCUCUCCGUGCCGGUAACCAUAAAAUCCAGGAGCUGAGUCACACGUGCUGCGAAUGAGUCUGAUAAGCGUGGGCUGUGCAUCAGCAGGACACACACCUGAAAGACAAGGUUUGGCCGCCUCUGUCUGCUGAGCUGUGGUUGUGUUCCCACCGCUACUCGUCAGCUCAUUCGGCAAGAAGCUCGGUGGAGUCUGGGCUUCGAGUGAUGAGGUCGGUCACCCCAAACCCCCAUUCUCAUUUACUGCCACUGCUCAGAGAAGAUGGCCACAAAACCCCAGGCUGUCCCCCUGAACUCGACUUGGCUCUUGAACUGAAAGGCCUAGAACAGAGGGAGGCAGGAGCAUCAGUGGAGCCAAGCCCUUGAGACCUCUUUCACUGGCUAGAGGAGGCAUCGCCUUGGACAGAACUCUGCAAGGCACGGUGAGGUCCCAGGUCCCUUUCUGGUUCCUUCCAUCACAGACUCUGCCAGUGAAUCAAGUUCCUAGGGAAGGUUUUGAGGGCCUAUGGGAUUUUCAUCUGUCCCGUUCGCAUCUGUCCUGUUCAUCCGUUCCCGUUCCCCAGUGCUCAGAACAGCAGCACGUCCCUGCAAAUGAAUGAAUGCCCACCACAUUCGGAGGGCUCUAGCCUCCGCAUCUUCCCAAGACAAACCGAAGCCAUCGGCCUCGCGGAUUCCAUGGUCAUUCACUGAACAAACCAGCUGUGUGGGAUCCUCCCGCCACUGCUCUGCUUUCCAUCCCCCCACCUGUCACCUUAGCUGGUAGGUGUCCCCUCUGGGUCUCUGACAGCUUCCCUUUGGAAAGGCCUGCCCUAUUCUCUCCUCUUGGAGGAAGAGAGGGUCACUCGCUGCAGAGCACUGAGCAAGAAGGUCAGCUCAUGCCGAGCACACAACUUGCUCCUUUCGGACUCGGCCUGCCAGAAGCGGAAAUGUUAGAGCUAGAAGCACCUCUGGAAAUCACUCUCAUGGAAGACACGCAGAAACCAAGCUCACGGAGCUGGCCGCAGGAAUGGCGGGAGACUGGGCCUCUAUGCAGAAGCUCACUGUAUGGCCCUUUCCCUCGGGCCCCCCCUCUACCUUGUGUAGGUAAGGAAGUUUUGGAAAGCGCCUAUAAAUCUGCAUUCUCUGUCUACGUAUUAAAAACACGAAAUAUUCCCACUGUA